GAAUGGCAGGAAGGUUGGCCUGUACUGGGCCGUACGCGCCUUGUGCUCUGCUGCCGAGCAGUUGCCAAACCAGGCAGUGAUGCAACCGGUCAGGAUGCUCUCGAUGGUGCAGGUGUAGAACGUUUUGAGGAUCUGAGGACCCAUGCCAAAUAAUUUUCAGUCUCCUGAGGGGGAAUAGGCAUUGUCGUGCCCUCUUCACGACUGUCUUGGUGUGUAUGGACCAUGAUAGUGUCGUGGCAUGACUACCAUUAAUGUGAUGACGGCUAUUUUAUCAAAUCAAUUAACUAUGUUGAAUUAAUACGUGAUUAAAUUAAUCAUGUAACAAUGAACUCAUUAGUAACUUGGGGCACCAAAAAGUUUGUUUUAUGAGUUACUAUUUUCCGAAUUAACUCAAGAAUAUAUCAGAAUAUAUCAUUAUCAUUCCAGUCAUCCAUUAAUUAUUAUUUCAGUCUCAUUCUAACAUCGCAUAAUUCUUGGAUAUCUGCAGGAACCCUAGUCUAAAUAAUGAUUUAGCGAUACACAAAUUGGCUUAAUUAUUUAUUUACUAACUAAAUAAUCACACAGACAUACAUAAACAGUAUAGGUUGAAUUGAUUUCUAACAUAAUGCAAUGAAAAGUCCCUAGUGGACUAACUCGAUAUGACGGCAUGUUACACAGUGAAAGGGGUGGGGAAAGAAAGAGUGGGAGAGACAGAGAGGGGACCCAUCGUACAUAAAGUUGGAAAUAUAUGCUCAUGGGAAUGUGAAUACAUUUCACAUGAAUGACUGCUCAUUCGAAAAUAAUUGCAAUGUAUAUAUUUAUGCUUGUAUGUUUUUGUCGUCGCUCUCUGUUGAAAUCGCCCGGUCUGUCUAUGGGGAGUCGUUCGACAGAAGUCUCUGGUUUGUCCACCAGAGGUAACAAUAUCUUUUGUAGUUGUAGUAGGCUUUCUUUGUCUCUGAGUGUUCAUUAGACUGGAUCCUUCAGAUAUACACACACGGUGGUCUUUGGGUAGAGUUUACUAGACUAACAGUUCUUAAACAGCUGCAGACUGAAUGUUCCGAUGUAGUCUUUAUCUUCUUCACUCGCGUGGAGAGUUUCUAAACAUUUCGUAGCGUUCAGCUCACGCUGUCGGUCACGCUGGUCUAUAUUUAAAUUGCAACCAUUUCAACGUUUUCAGCUCACGCUGCACGUAUACUGGUCUUGUAGUUUUAAACCAUUUCAACAUGUAGCCACCGCUCCAUGCUUUCUGACCUGUAUGUUAAUUCUUCAGCAAGUCCUUUUAAGCACUCGCCUUGGAGGGUGGUUCCAUCAUGUUGCCACAAUGUUGCCACAAAUCACAUUUAAUCUUUUCACAAAUAGUUUCAUAUUUAAUCAUAUAAGGUUUACAACAUUUAGAUGUAAAUCUGAUAACUGGGAUGUAUACAUUUGUAGAGUUACAGUUAUUUAGUUAUACCAUCCUUAAUGAUAUCACAAAACAAUACACUUUUGACAGGAUUUAUUGUUUGGACACCCACCAACCAUUCCAGAUGUUUGGAUUUGAAAACUAAUGUUCCAAUGUCCAAUCCUUUGAUGUUUGAAGUUUAUCCUUUGUGCAGAUAUCCUUUGUGCAAUACUGCAGGUACAGAGAGAGAGUUUACAACCGGUCGUUAAAGUCAUAAGACCGGCCCACUUCCCCCCCUUCCUCUGGUGGGAGAUAGAGGGGGCUCUCUUUGAUCCUCACCCAGGAGGGAAAGUCAUGACAAUAGUUUGAUGGUGAUGUGGACACCAAGGAACUUGAAGUGCUCGACCUGCUCUACAACAGCCCCGUCGAUAUGAAUGGGGGCAUGCUUGACCCUCCUUUUCCUGUAGUCUACGAUCAGCUCCUUUGUCUUGAUCACAUUUAUUUUUCAUUUAAAAAAAUUGGGGUACUUUUACCCCUUUUUCUUUCCCAAUGUCAUGACAUACAAUUGGUAGUUACAUUCCUGUCCCAUCGCUGCAACUCCCGUACGGACUUGGGAGAGGCGAUGGUCGAGAGUUAUGUGUCCUCCGAAACACAACCCUGCCAAGCCGCACUGCUUCUUGACACACUGCUCACUUAACCCGGAAUCCAGCCACACCAAUGUGUCGGAGAAAACACUGUACAACUUGCGACCGAGUCAGCUUGCAGUCACCCAGCCCACCAUAAGGAGUCGCUAGAGCAUGAUGGGAUAAGAAAAUCCCGGCCAGCCAAACCCUCCCCUAAACCGAACAACACUGGGCCAAUUGUACGCUGCCUCAUGAGUUUCACCGUCACGGUCCGGCUGUAACACAGCCUGGGAUCUAACCCAGGGCUGUAGUGACGCAUCAAGCAGUGCAAUGCAGUGCCUUAGACCGCUGCGCCACUCAGGAGGCCCUAUCUUGAUCACGUUGGGGGAGGGAUUGUUUUCAUGUUACCACACGGCCAGGUUUCUGACCUCCUCCCUAUAGGCUGUCUCAUCGUUGUCGGUGAUCAGGCCUACCACCUUUGUGUUGUAGGCAAAUGCAACGAUAGGUUGUGCUUGGCCAUGUUGUGCUUGGAGUACAGUGAGUACCUUUCCACCAUGACGCAAUCUCCAUUGCACUCCACACUGCCCUUUCCCACCUGGACAAAAGGAACACCUACGUGAGAAUGCUGUUCAUUGACUACAGCUCAGCAUUCAACAUCAUAGUGCCCUCAAAGCUCAUCACUAAGCUAAGGACCCUGGGACUAAGCAUCUCACGCUACAACUGGAUACUGGACUUCCUGACGGGCCACCCCAGGUGGUAAGGGUAGGCAACAACACAUGAUGUUAAAAAUAUUUGUUGGUUUGAUGUGAUUAAUGAGGAGCAUCCAGACGCUGCACUUGAUGAACUUAUGAAAUUGCUUCUUCCAAUUAUUGACAAACAUGCACCUGUUAAUAAACUAACUGUUCGAACUGUUAAGGCUCCAUAGAUUGAUGAGGAAUUGAACAACUGUAUGGUUGAAAGAGAUUGGGCAAAAGGAAUGGCUAAUAAGUCUGGCUGCACAUCUGACUGGCUCUAGGAUGAUGCCACGUUCAAGACAACUUGGAACUUGGAAAUCUCCGACCCCCUUGUUCAGUGUUUUUGCUGCAUUCACGUGCUAGCCGGAACUAAGAAACUCUGAAAUGUGCGACUUGGUUGUAGUUAAUCAAGUGCCGUGUUCAACCAGCCAGGCCCCCCAUGAAAACAACUACAUCGACAAUGAUCCUUUGCUAGUUAUGGCCACUUUCACCGUGAUCCUUAGCGAUUUUUUGGUGCCAUUCAGCCCCUUCAGCAAUAUGGUGCGUUACAAAUUCAAAUACUGGCUUCUUGCAUAGAAAGUUUUCCAUAGAAAUACGUGGAUGAUGCACUAUCAUUGGUUUUAAUGUCUAUGCGUUCAACAAAUUAGUAAAUCGUAAUUUUAGAGUUUCCUAGUCCCAACAAGCAUGUGAACGUCUCUGAAAAACUAGCUUCAACUGUAAAAAAAAUAUUUUUGAAGGCUCAUCAACUCUUAGAGCUCCGACUUUUUGACCUGAAGACCACUGAUAGUUUUUUUCAGAGUUCCCAGUUGUCUUGAAAGCACCAUGAUUCCAGAGUUUCUGACUUGGAAUUCUGAGUUGGAUGACCUUUUAAAACGUUAUUUCCCAGUCGGAGCUAGUUUUUUUUCUUCAGAUUUCCCAGUUGUCUUGAAAGCUGUGUACAGAACCUAGGUGGGAAGGUGGAAAUUACCAGCUGCGAAGUCGUAAAUACGAGGGAACCAUUCACAUGCUUUGAUUGGCUAAUGGCCAACAAACUGCCAACAAACUGCAUCAACCAUAAACUAAAAGUACAGCUAUCAUGUUUGUAAAUGAAUUAUAGUGUUAAAAAAACAUAGUAAUUGACAAUUAUUUAUAAACAAUGUUUUGUUGUUGCAUUUAACUGCUGAAAAUGCUGUUAUCGAGGUAAUUUCCUUAGUAGGUGACAUCAGAGGUCAGCAUGCGGGAGAAAUCGGAGCUCAGGGAGUUUCCCACAAGUAAUUACCAGUUGGAGGGGCAUUUCAGUGGAUUUUUCCCAGUCGUAUGUGGUAAAUACCACAUAUUCCCACAUGGUUAUGAAAGCAGCAUAAAGCAAGUCGGAGGUCGGAGAUUUCCGAGUUCCCAGUUGUCUUGAACACAGCUUAAGUCAGGUAACGCAGUGUGAUGACAUCAUGAGAAGGUGUUUUGGCGACGUCAAACUUGCCAGUUCAUGGGAGAAAUGUUUUGAGGUUUACAUCGAGCUGUAGAAGGAGGGAAAGAUGGUGGAAGUGGAUGCUGAGUUCGAAUCUAGCAGCGCGUUGAGCAAAGUUGGUGAAGACGAAUGUUCUGAAUGGACUCUAAAAUUGGAGUGGAGGAUACGUGUAUGAAUGAUAAGGAAUCGCUUCUUGUUGGGAUGCAUUUGUUGAGGAAGGAUGCAUAUGUGGGAGACCCGUUUGAGGUGUCGAAAAUGGUGAAGUAUGCACUGGGGAAAGUGGAAUUUGUCAGAGUGACCAGGAAUUGUUUUAUUUUGAUUAAUUGUAUUUCUGAAGAACAGAGGAAGAUUGCAGUGAGCCUUGAAAGAAUCUGGACAGGGCCUCCCGAGUGGCGCAGCAGUCUAAGGCACUGCAUCGCAGUGCUAUAGGCGUCACUACAGACCCGGGUUCUGUGUCGGGAGACGACCGGGAGAGCCAUGAGACGGCGCACAAUUGGCCCAGCGUCGUCCUGUUUAGGGGAUGGUUUGCCGGCCGUCUGGGUUGUCCUUGUCCCACCGCUUUAGCGACUUCUGUGGCGGGCCAGACGCAUGCACGCUGACUUCAGUUGCCAGUUGUAUGAUGUUUCCUUCGACACAUUGGUGCGACUGGCUUCCGGGUUAAGCGAGCAGUGUGUCAAGAAGCAGUGUGGCUUGCCAGGGCUAUGUUUCGGAGGACGCAUGGCUCUCGACCUUCGCCUCUCCCGAGUACUUACGGGAGUUUCAGCGAUGGGACAAGACUGUCACUAGCAAUUGGAUAUCACGAAAUUGGGGAGAUAAAGGGGUAAAAAGUUAAAAAAAAAUAUAUAUAUAUAUAUAUAUAAAACAUCCGGACAACAAAAGUUUUGUGUUUUAAACUUCGGAGUAGAGCACCUGUCAAAGGAGUCAAGUCAUGGGUGACGACGGAUGUUCAGGUUGAAUACCUGAAGAGAAUUCCUGGUGUGGUUGGUGCCCGGCAUCUGACCCGCAGGCCGAAUGGAGAAAAAGAAGAAAGUCUGUCUGUCCUGUUGUUUUUUGGUACAAAUUAAAUAUCUACAUAUGUGAAUCUUCGUUUUGUAAGAUACUCUGUAAGAGCUUUCAUCCCCCAAACCAUUGCAGUGUAAGAAUUGAAAAGGAUUUGGCAAUGUUUCAAGUGUGUGCAGACGGACAGUUUAGUUUAUUUAUUUAUUUUGGUAGUUUGGUAGUUUUUUGCUAGUUUGUUCCAUUUUUGGGAAUCCUGUUUCCAUCCCGCACAGUAGCUGGUGGGUUGCACAUUAAAUUGUGCGAUCGCCAAUAUACCAUAGAAGAAGAAGAAAUGUUUUGAGAAGAAUAAACAUUAACAUCGUGAAAUGUGAGUAUUAUGUUUAUUUAUUCAACAAAUUACGUUAAAAUGUUCAUCAACAUACUUUCAUAUGAAGGUUAAAUUCAGUUAUUAGGACAUAACGCAGAGUCAGGUCUCUAGCCAAGCUAGCUACCAGGUGAUCUUGUCAUUUUUACGCAAUGAACAACUAAUUGUAUAUUCAGGAAUGUGUCAAUGAUGUAGGAAUGCACAGUUUUAAAAUCCUGAAUUAGUGAUCAUGCUAGCCAACGAAUGACAAAUCAUAUUUUUCAAAUCGACAAGAUAUUAUAAUAACACAGCAACAAAAUGUUUUGGUAUUUUAUUAGGAUCCCCAUUAGCUGUUGUGAAAGCAUCAUCUACUCUACAGAACAUUAACAGACAAAAACAGCUCAAGGACUGAACUACAGUACAUAAAUGUAAAAACAGCACACGUAGCCUACAUAUCAAUACAUACACACAAUAACUAGAUCAAAUAGGGGAGAGGCACUGUGCUGUGAGGUGUUCCUUUAUCUGUUUUUUUUAUAAACCAGGUUUGCUGUUCACUUCAGCAAUAUGAGAUGGAAGAGUUCCAUGCAAUAAUGGCUCUAUAUAAUACUGUACACAUUCUUGACAUUUUAACGAGGUUAUAAGCUAAGACUAUACUGGCUGUUCCUCUUUUUCCAGAGUGAUGGUUCAUAUUGUAGCUCACGAGUAGGGACUGGAACCCACCUCAGGUCCUAUGUGAAGUUUGUGUUCAAGCCAGAGCCGAACUCAGCCAGUGGGGUGUCCCUAACCCUAAGAGUGUCCAUGAGGAGCUGGCUAAAGCCAUGACAGCCAACCUCAAACCCUCCACUUACUUCCUCACCAGCAACAAACUGCUACUCGUUGUACUUCGUAGAAGCCUUGGUGAAGUCUAUGGCCCAGCAUAGGACACAGAGUGGUAAAUUCAACCUGUCUAGAAAACCAAGUUUCUCUGCCUCCUUCCACCACACAGUAGAGAAACAUGCUGAGGCCUCACAUCAACAAGAACUACAAGGGCCAACUGGACGCUGCCCGAAACGCCAACCACAGUCUGGCAGUCUUGGUGUGCCAUAGACUGCCAACAAAAAAGUUGUUGGUUUCAUUCAGAAAAUUGCCACAUUCAGUUCUAUGAUAAAGCUAUUUUCUUGCUAUGAGGACUGAUGUAUGCUACAAGAAGCAAAAUAAAUACGUGCACUCUAUACUAUCAGGGUAGAUUAUUGAUGUUUCUUGUGCUAUGUAGAAACUAUUUGCUAGUCAUUUAAAUAAUAAACAACUGUAUUCUGUCCUAUUAAUGUAGUUCCGUUUAUGAAAAUAGUAUCUUCAUUAUUUAUUAUUGUAGUGUUAAUCUAUCUGUGAAAAUCUGAAGAAAACAGAAACUAAGGUGAAAGUAAUAGUAAUUUACACAACAACAGGGAAACAGAGCAUUGCUUUAGAAUACAGUGUCAAGACGACAUAGCUACACUGAAACUAUGGUGAACAGUAAGCUACACUGAAACAAUGGUCAUAGUAAUUUACACGGUAACGGGAACAGAGCAUUGCUUUAGAAUACAGUGUCAAGGCCCCGUAGGUACACUGAUACUAUGGUGAAACUAUCCAGGAAGAAACAGUAAGGCACACAAACUGAUUAAAGUAGUAAUGAAUAUAAUAGUAAUUUACAGGGGAACAGAGCGUUGCUUUAGAAUACAGUGUCUAGGCCCCAUAGGUACACUGAAAAAAUAUGGUGAAACUACGCAUGAAGUAACAGGUAAGGUACAUAAUAUGUAUUUAAGUACAGUGCUGAAAUAACUAUAAUGAUAGGAAGGUAAUCGGAAACAAGACAAAAGGCAGCUAGCUACAAGCAAAGACCUAAAAGGGACAUUUUUAGGAUGGUCCACAUAAAGCAUAAGUGAAAGUUCCAAGUACAUUCUUAAUAAGUAUACCCUCUAUUAUUGAUAGUUCUUCAGUAAGGAAUAGUUGUUCCUAAAUAACAACCAGGAUAAUUCAUCACUCUUUAUAUCAGUACUUAGCAGCUACAAACAAUAUAUUAUUGGAUAAUUGGUGUUCAUGCCUGGUUGUUGCCAUCAUAUUUCAUAGUUUUUUCCAGGUACUUUCCAGACAUUACCCUCUUAUUCAGCUAGCCUUGUGACCUAAGCAACCCUGCUAUUUCCUGUUUCCUGUGUUCCUCUGCCCUAGAAUUGGAUUGGAGGAGAGCUGAGUAAAUGUAACCCAAUCCGCUUCAAGCUUUCAGCCUCUCGUAAUAGUAUUGUAUUUUCUCUUCCUGUGUAGGGGAAUUAUUUGAUAAAACAUUGAAUUUGUCCUUACUGCCAUUAGCCCAUAGAAACACAUUCAAUAACAUAUUCAUACAUGGUAAAAACAGAUUGUAAAGUCAAAAGUAUGUUUUGGGGGGCGCUAGUGAGCAACCCAUGGAGUAGGUCAAAUGCAUUUAUUUAAUAGUUUCUUUGUGCUUUGACCCGCUAAAGAACUAGGAAACACAGCCUUUGAAUGACGUGCAUUACUUUGUUCAACUUUUAUUUUAGUUUUAAUGUGUAAAUGGCACAUAACCUGCAAUAGUUUAAGUUCAACUGAGUCACUGACAAAAGAGAAAACACUAGUCCCAAGACGAGGAGCUCGAGUUCUUCAACAAGUGGGAGCAGCGGCUCCUCGGCUCUGCGAAAAAAAUUAACACCAAGGAUUUGAAGGCCGAGAUUCUUGCUGCCCUCAGAGCGGACAUUUCAUCUAUACUCAAGUCGGAACUCAAGGAGGCGCUCAAUGUGGACUUUAAUUUUAUUAAGUCGGAGUUACAAGCAGUCAAGAAUGAACUCGUAAAGCAUACAGCAAUGGUUCGUACUGAACUGGAUACAGUUAAAAAAAACUGUCUCCGACAUGGAAAAGACUUGUCCCCAUGCUCAGACGACACAACUACACUACAAACCAUGGUUAAGAAGCUUGAAACUGAUGUGGCUAGCCUUAAUUAACAAUGCAUACAUUUAUAAGGUUAUAUGCAAAGAUCCAAUAUCAGGAUCAUGGGGGUAGCUGAGGACCCAGGCUCAAGUUCUACUUCAUUGGUUUCAAAGUUAUUGAAGGAAGCCCUCAAAUUGAAUAAAGACGUCCUUGUAGACAGCUCACAUCGGGGCUCUCAAGCAAGUGAGCCUGGUGGAAAACCUUGCUUCAUUGUGGCUAAACUACACUACUAUCAGCAUUUUAUGAUGUUCUUCAGCGUGUCAGAGAAUUUGUCCCACUUCGAUGCAACUGAGCACCUAUCUCUAUCUUCCUAGACUAUGCCCCCAGCUUUGCUUGUGACCGUGCUGCUUCCAAUGAUGUCAAGAGUGUGCUCAGUGGACGGACCGAAGUUCGGUAUGGUGUGGCUUAUCCUACCCGGCUCUGUACAAUGACAUCGAAGGCUAUGGCCAUCAUAAAGGCCAAGGUCAGAUGAAGCAAAUGGCUGAAUGUUCACCUAUUUGGCAAAUAGGGUAAUGGACAAAUGUGUUUACAUCUGCAGACUCAGUCUCUCUUUUGUAGAUACUGUAUAGUGUUGCCAGUGGUGUCAGUUGAUAUUGUUAUUAUUAGGUAACGUUAGUGCCUUACUUCUGGUGAGCCAAUUUUCCGUUUGUUUUAAUGUUUCAUUUUAUUACAAUGAAGCUGCUCAUUUCUAUUUUUCUCGACGGUACUCGUAUCCAGGGUAGAUAAAGCACAGUUCUAUUAUUAGGUCACGUCAUUUAUUUAAAGACGUUGCUGCUAACAUAGUGGUAUUGCUGUAAGAUGUGAUUUAUAAAAAUGUUUUAUUCUUUCUUUUAAAACAGCCUAGUUUUGGGUUGUAAAUAAGUAUUUCUUAUUUAUUUAUUUAUUUUGCGCAACUUGUUUUAAAUCCUUCACUAUUUCAGUAGGGCUCUCUACCCGAUAGGUUUAGUGUUCCCCACCACAAUCACAUUAGGUGUGGAUAUCUUUGUGGGAGAGUAGCGGUUUCUUCUUCUAUUAGGUGACCGGGAUGAGGUUUUCUUUUUCAUACCAGACAUCAGAGUAUUGUUUGUUUAUGUUUAUUUAUUCUUCUUAAAAUAUAUAUAUGUAUUUGCUAUUUAAAAAAAAAAAAAUUAGGGAUCAGUUGUUAUUGUAAUCUGGCAUCUAUCCUUUUCCCACCUGACUUUACAUGGCUAGGCCUAAUAUCAUGACAGGGACAGCUGGUUGCUCGGUCACUUUUGCUAGCUGGAAUGUUACAUCUUUAAAUCACCCAGUGAAAUGUAAAAGGUUUCUUUCUCAUUUAAAUCACCUUAAAGUAGAUAUCGCUUUUCUUCAGGAGACACAUCUCCGCACUUUCGACCACUGCCGUUUAAAAGGAGGGUGGAUCGGUCAAUCAUAUCAUUCCAAUUUUCAUUCUAAAACUAGCGGAGCAGCCAUUUUAAUUAGUAAAAAAAACAUUUUAAUUAGUAAAAAAAUACCGUUCCUAAUGUCAAGUGUAGAGUCCGACUCAGCAGGCCGUGUCAUUAUUCUAGUAGGAAUACUGUAUAAUACACCUGGUAUCUUGGCUAACAUUUAUGCACCAAAUUGGGAUAACAUUUCAUUCUUCACAAAUGUAUUGGACACACACCACCGAAUACUUCACAAAUAUGGACACACACCGCCGAAUACUUGGUGGUGAUAUGAAUUGUGUACUGUCGCCCAGUAUGGAUCGUAGCUCUUCUAAGGUAUCAUCUUCAUCAAAGACAGUAUCCACAAUGCAGCUAUUUCUUAAGACAUAUGGCAUAUCUGAUGCGUGGGGUUUCUGCAAUCCCACGGCUAGGGAGUAUUCUUUUUUCUCACCAGUUCAUAAGACCUUCUCACGUAUAGACUACUUUUUCCUAGACAAUAGAUUUCUGCCACUUAUCACGGAGUGUGAUUACCAAGCUAUAGUCAUUUCGGAUCCUUCUCCUCUUACUAUUUACAUUUACAUUUUAGUCAUUUAGCAGACACUUAUCCAGAGCGACUUACAGUAGUGAAUGCAUACAUUUCAUACAUACAUCAUACAUUUUUUUCUUACUUCACAAUAGUAUCAUAAUUAACAGAGUGAAAAAAGGAAGCCUGUACAUAAAACUAUCCCAAAACAUGCAUCCUGUUUGCAAUAAGGCAAUAAAAUAAUAUUGCAAAAAAUGUGGCAAAGCAAUAACUUUUUUUCCUGAAUAUAAAGUGUUAGGUUUGGGGCAAAUCCAAUA